GUGAUUGAGCACCUGCUGAAGGGGAGUAGCCAGCCCUGGGAGCACAGGUGGAUGCAAUUCACCUGUGGGUGUGGACCUCAUUUAAGGGCUGGCAGCCAAAAGGGAAGCGUCUCUACUUGGAAGCUGCCUCCUUUGUUGUGUUGGGUGAGCCUUGAGCCUUUGAAAGGGGUAAGUGAUUCCUCCCUUUUUUUUUGCCAGAUUAUGGCCUCUACCUUUCCUGGAGAAUCUGAAACUGUUUUAAAGCAGCUGUAUCUACUAUUGCCCAUCCUUACAAUGCCCUUCAAUUCUUCUCCAGGAGAGAUUAAUGGAUUAUAUCCCUUUCUUCAAAGUGGUGUUGAAGGUGCUUAUGACUAUGCUCAAUCCUUUCAUCCCCCAGCUUGUACUGGUAGUGUGGCUUGCCUUGACCAAGACCGUGCACUUGGAUUUAUGGAACCUUGUGAAGAUGGCCUGGGCCACUGCUCAAGCCUGUCUGGGUCCCUCUGGAUGGUGUCCCUUCCCUCUGGCAUGUCAACCACACCCCACAGCUCGGUGUCAUCAGUAAACUUGCUGAGGGUGCACUUGAUUUCACUGUCAAUGUCAUUGAUGAAUGACAUGAUGAAGAUAUUGAAGAGUAUUGGUGCCCGUACUGCCCCCUGUGGGACACCACUUGUCACUGAUCUUCAUCCAGAUGCUGAGCCACCGACCACUGCUCUCUAUACUCGAUUUUGCAGCCAGUUCUUCAUCCAUUGAACAACUCAUUCAUCUGUUCUAUACCUUUCCAAUUUUAGGGAAGGAUGUCGUGGGGUACUGUGUCAAAGGCCUUACUGAAGUUGAGACAGAUGACAUCAGUGUUCCCUCAGGACUCUGUGAUGCGUCUCACUGGGACCCAUAGACUUGUGGUUGUUCAGGUUCCUCAGGUGGUCCAGAACCUGAUAUUUGCUCCCGAGGUGGGGGGGGAAUUGCUUCCCCAGUCCUGUCCUACCAAACAUUAACUGCUUGUCAUAGAGCUCUCAAUCAGAGAAGACUGAGGCAAAAAAGUUGCUGGUUGCCACCUUCUUGUCUGUUGUUAUCAGCCACAGUGCUGCUAGUAAGCAGCAACGUGCGCAUGGUGCAGCCACUUUGCUCAGAGAAGGGAGAACUACAGUGCACAUCCCCAAAAGAGGGGCCACCCUGGUGUGUGGGGGGGUAGUCCCUUCAGUAUUGUAUUGCGUUCAACAGGUGGCAGCGGAGAACUGCAGUGCUCCUGGACAGUGUAAAAACAAAAACACUGCCAGGACAGUUUUGUGCCUCUGCGUGGAUACUGCAGAAAACGUGGGAAACACUAAUAUGGGGAAAAAACAGCGCUACCUGAUCACCUGCCAGUCCUUACCCGGACACUACUCAGCAAUGGAAAGCCACAUUUCCAGGAAUGCCUGUGCUCUGACCAGACUCCUUUGUGUUGUUGCAUCUCAGAGCCCCAGGUGCCUUGCUAUGGUGCUGACGGUAAGAGCAAUGUGCACAGGGUGCAGCCUCCACGUAUACGGGGCAGUACCUUCGCUAUUGUAUUGUGUUCAACAGGUGGCAGCAGAGAACUGCAGUGCUCCUAGGCAGUGCAAGAACUGCACAGAGCAAUUUGUGGCUUUUCAUGAAGUCAGCAAGAAAUGGAAAGCUGGAUUUCUUGGAAUGCCCGGGAACCUGACUUUGCUGACUGGUAACUCAUUACCUGUGUGGGAAAGGGCAAUGUACACCCACCAAUGUUUACUCAUUACAUAGUGCAGCACAACCUAGUGCUCCCAGUGCUUGUAACUGUGCUUUAGGGUAUCCUACAGGCUGCCUGUCCUUCUCCUACAUUCUCCUUGUCUCUGGCCUUUCCCUGCGGUGUUCUCCUUGCCUUCGCCUUGGCUUUCUCUGGCUAUUUUUGUUGCCCUCGCCUGGGGCUUCCUUGCGGCAUUCUCCUUGGCUUUGGCCUUGCCCUUGCCUGGGCCUUCCGUGUGGCGUUCUUCCCGCCAUUGCCUUAGUUUUGGUUUUCCCUUGAGCAUUCUAAUUGCCUUUCUUUCUGCCUUUUCCUUCCCUCACUGUUCUCCUUGCCUUUGCCUUGCUGUUCCCUUGGGUUUUCUGCUUGCCUUUGCCUCCCUGGGAUUGAGAGGCAGCGUUAAUGUUAAUCUUGACCUCAACCCUAAGCUUAAUGGGAGCUCUAAAGAUAAUUAUAUUAACCCACAAUGUGACUUUAAACCUAACCCUUAACCCAAUGCUGAAAAUGUCUCUAAUGCUCAAUGUAGCAAUAAAAACAAUGCCUGGAGAUUUGUAAGUAAACUU
ensembl:lncRNA